UACGGGGGGGGCAAGCGUUGUUCGGAAUUACUGGGCGUAAAGGGCUCGUAGGUGGCCAACUAAGUCAGACGUGAAAUCCCUCGGCUUAACCGGGGAACUGCGUCUGAUACUGGAUGGCUUGAGAUUGGGAGAGGGAUGCGGAAUUCCAGGUGUAGCGGUGAAAUGCGUAGAUAUCUGGAGGAACACCGGUGGCGAAGGCGGCAUCCUGGACCGGUAUUGACGCUGAGGCGCGAAAGCCAGGGGAGCAAACGGG
rnacentral:rRNA from 1 species